rnacentral:ncRNA from 1 species
GUUUGGUCCUAGCCUUAUCCUCAACUGUUACUCAACCUACACAUGCAAGUAUCCGCAUACCCGUGAAAACGCCCUCGCCCCUCCCCCAGGAAGAGGAGCUGGUAUCAGGCACAAAUCUCUCGCCCAUGACACCUAGCCACGCCACACCCCCAAGGGUAUCCAGCAGUGAUAAACAUUGUCCAUUAGCGCCAGCUUGAUUCAGUCAAAGUAAAACAGAGCCGGCCAAUUCGGUGCCAGCCGCCGCGGCUACCCCGCUUGGCUCAAGUUGACAUUAUCGGCGUUAAGCGUGAUUAAAGUAACACAACAUUAGAAUCAAAACUCAACCAAAUUGUGACACACUUGCUCAGAAGAAGCCCCCAAACGAAAGUUAUUCUAACCCCCCCCCCUUGAACCCACGACAAUUGGGACACAAACUGGGAUCAGGUACCCCACUAUGCCCAACCGUAAAACAUUUACCCACACACAACAGCCGCCAGGGAACUACGAGCCCGCCUUAAAACCCAAAGGACUUGACGGUGCCCCACCCCCCCCUAGAGGAGCCUGUUCUAUAAUCGACACCCCCCGAUAUACCCCGCCGCCCCUGGCACACUCAGUCUGUAUACCUCCGUCGCAAGCUUACCGUGUGAACGCCACCAGUAAGCCCAAAGAUCCCCCAUCAACACGUCAGGUCAAGGUGCAACUAACGAGGCGGAAAGCAAUGGGCUACAAUUUCUACAAUAGAACACACGAAAACUGCAUGAAACACAGCCACGAGGCGGAUUUAGUAGUAAAAAGAAAAUAGAGCGUUCUUUUUAAUUAGGCGCUGGGACGCGUACACACCGCCCGUCACCCUCUUCAAGUGCCCCCCCACAAGAAGAGGCAAGUCGUAACACGGUAAGCGUACUGGAAGGUGCGCUUGGAUAAUCAAAAUGUAGCUUAACCCAAAGCACCUCGCUUACACCGAGACAGCUGUCAAUGAACCAGACUAUUUUGAGCCCAAACCCAAGCCCCCCCCCCCACCCAAAACAAAACAAAACAAAACAUUUUUCAAUUAAGUAACGGCGAUUAAAAAAUAAGUGAGAGCUAUAAAAACAGUACCGCAAGGGAAAUAUGAAAUAAAAAUGCAAACCACAAGCACAACACAGCAAAGAUUAAAUCUUGUACCUUUCGCAUCAUGGUCUAGCGAGUCUCACCAAGCAAAACGCACUUAAAGUUUGACCCCCCGAAACUGGGCGAGCUACUUUACAACAGCCCACAGAGCCAACCCGUCCCUGUUACAAAAGGGUGGGAAGAUUUUAAAGUAGAGGUGACACACCCAUCGAGCCCAGAGAUAGCUGGUUAUUCAGAAAAGGGAUCUAAGUCCACCUUUAAGUUUCCACAGUAACGCUAAACAACCCCCCCCAACUUAAAAGCCAUUCAAGUAAGGUACAGCCUACUCGAACAAGGAGACAACCUACAACACAGGGUAAUAAUUAUACACGUGACCAAGUGGGCCCAAAAGCAGCCAACUUCCAAAAAGCGUCCAAGCUUACUCACUACCAAUACUUAAUCCAACCAUCCACGUACAACCCACAACCACUACUGAAUGACUCCAUGCCCACAUGGAAGACAUCAUGCUAGAACUAGUAACAAGAAGAAAGAACUUCUCCAAAAUGUAAACGUAAGCCAAAAAUGAACCCAUCACCGGCACCCACCGCUCCAGCCUGCAGUACUACCCCCCCCCCAGAAAACCCUACUCCACCAAGCGUCAACCUUACACUAGAACACUCCCGGAAAGAUUAAAAAAGGGGGAAGGAACUCGGCAAACACCAGCCCCGCCUGUUUACCAAAAACAUCGCCUCUCGACAAACAUAAGAGGUCUAGCCUGCCCAGUGACUUUAGUUAAACGGCCGCGGUACCCUAACCGUGCAAAGGUAGCACAAUCACUUGUUCUCUAAAUCAGGACUAGUAUGAACGGCCCCACGAGGGCUAUGCUGUCUCCCCCCUUUAAUCAGUGAAACUGAUCCCCUCGUGAAGAAGCGAGGAUAACCCUAUAAGACGAGAAGACCCCAUGGAACUUUAAACUUGCACCACUGCCCCCAAUAUACCACACUACUCAGGGCAAUAUGACUGCCAGUCUUUCGGCUGGGGCGACCACGGAGAAAAACUAAACCUCCACGAUGAAAGGGGCCCCCCCCUAAUUCCAGAACUACCACUCCAAAAAUCAACAAACUGACAAAUUGACCCAACCCCCCCUUGAUCAACGAACCGAGCUACCCUGGGGAUAACAGCGCAAUCUACUUCAAGAGCCCCCAUCGACAAGUAGGCUUACGACCUCGAUGUUGGAUCAGGGCAUCCCGGUGGUGCAGCCGCUACCAAAGGUUCG